UUAAGUUAAUAAGGGCGCACGGUGGAUGCCUUGGCACUAGAAGCCGAUGAAGGACGUGACUAACGACGAAAUGCUUUGGGGAGCUGUAAGUGAGCAAUGAUCCAGAGAUGUCCGAAUGGGGGAACCCGGCAGGUAAUGCCUGUCACUCAUUACUGUUAAGGUAAUGUAGAGGAAGACGCAGUGAACUGAAACAUCUAAGUAGCUGCAGGAAGAGAAAGCAAAAGCGAUUGCCUUAGUAGCGGCGAGCGAAACGGCAAGAGGGCAAACCGAAGAGUUUACUCUUCGGGGUUGUAGGACUGCAACGUGGACUUAAAGAUUAUAGAAGAACUACCUGGGAAGGUAGGCCAAAGAGAGUAAUAGCCUCGUAUUCGAAAUAGUCUUUAUACCUAGCAGUAUCCUGAGUACGGCGAGACACGAGAAAUCUCGUCGGAAUCUGGGAGGACCAUCUCCCAACCCUAAAUACUCUCUAGUGACCGAUAGUGAACCAGUACCGUGAGGGAAAGGUGAAAAGCACCCCGGGAGGGGAGUGAAAUAGAACCUGAAACCGUGUGCCUACAACAAGUUCGAGCCCGUUAAUGGGUGAGAGCGUGCCUUUUGUAGAAUGAACCGGCGAGUUACGAUAUGAUGCGAGGUUAAGUUGAAGAGACGGAGCCGUAGGGAAACCGAGUCUUAAUAGGGCGCAUUAGUAUCAUGUCGUAGACCCGAAACCAUGUGACCUACCCAUGAGCAGGUUGAAGGUGAGGUAAAACUCACUGGAGGACCGAACCAGGGCACGUUGAAAAGUGCUUGGAUGACUUGUGGGUAGCGGAGAAAUUCCAAACGAACUUGGAGAUAGCUGGUUCUCUCCGAAAUAGCUUUAGGGCUAGCGUCGAUGUUAAGUCUCUUGGAGGUAGAGCACUGUUUGGGUGAGGGGUCCAUCCCGGAUUACCAAUCUCAGAUAAACUCCGAAUGCCAACGAGAUAUAAUCGGCAGUCAGACUGCGAGUGCUAAGAUCCGUAGUCGAAAGGGAAACAGCCCAGACCACCAGCUAAGGUCCCAAAAUAUAUGUUAAGUGGAAAAGGAUGUGGGGUUGCACAGACAACUAGGAUGUUAGCUUAGAAGCAGCUAUUCAUUCAAAGAGUGCGUAAUAGCUCACUAGUCGAGUGACCCUGCGCCGAAAAUGUACCGGGGCUAAAACAUAUUACCGAAGCUGUGGAUACCUUUAUAGGUAUGGUAGGAGAGCGUUCUAUGUGCGAAGAAGGUGUACCGUGAGGAGUGCUGGAGCGCAUAGAAGUGAGAAUGCCGGUAUGAGUAGCGAAAGACAGGUGAGAAUCCUGUCCACCGUAAGACUAAGGUUUCCAGGGGAAGGCUCGUCCGCCCUGGGUUAGUCGGGACCUAAGGAGAGACCGAAAGGUGUAUCCGAUGGACAACAGGUUGAUAUUCCUGUACUAGAGUAUAUAGUGAUGGAGGGACGCAGUAGGCUAACUAAACCAGACGAUUGGAAGUGUCUGGCCAAGCAGUGAGGUGUGAUAUGAGUCAAAUGCUUAUAUCUAUAACAUUGAGCUGUGAUGGGGAGCGAAGUUUAGUAGCGAAGUUAGUGAUGUCACACUGCCGAGAAAAGCUUCUAGCGUUAAUUAUACUCUACCCGUACCGCAAACCGACACAGGUAGUCGAGGCGAGUAGCCUCAGGUGAGCGAGAGAACUCUCGUUAAGGAACUCGGCAAAAUGACCCCGUAACUUCGGGAGAAGGGGCGCUGACUUAUGGUCAGCCGCAGUGAAUAGGCCCAAGCAACUGUUUAUCAAAAACACAGCUCUCUGCUAAAUCGUAAGAUGAUGUAUAGGGGGUGACGCCUGCCCGGUGCUGGAAGGUUAAGAGGAGUGCUUAGCAAUAGCGAAGGUAUGAAUUGAAGCCCCAGUAAACGGCGGCCGUAACUAUAACGGUCCUAAGGUAGCGAAAUUCCUUGUCGGGUAAGUUCCGACCCGCACGAAAGGCGUAAUGAUUUGGGCACUGUCUCAACGAGAGACUCGGUGAAAUUUUAGUACCUGUGAAGAUGCAGGUUACCCGCGACAGGACGGAAAGACCCCAUGGAGCUUUACUGCAGUUUGAUAUUGAGUAUCUGUACCACAUGUACAGGAUAGGUAGGAGCCUAUGACCUCGGGACGCCAGUUUCGAGUGAGGCGUUGUUGGGAUACUACCCUUGUGUUAUGGCUACUCUAACCCAGAUAGGUUAUCCCUAUCGGAGACAGUGUCUGACGGGCAGUUUGACUGGGGCGGUCGCCUCCUAAAAAGUAACGGAGGCGCCCAAAGG
rnacentral:rRNA from 1 species